GCUGCACACACUUCAGGUCAUAACAUGGAGCGGAAGAGGAACUUUUAGGCACACCUGGCUUAACCACAGGGACACAGCCGGGCCGGGACUGCAAUUCCCAAACGGCCUCACGGUAGGGGCGGGACCCAAGAUGGCCGCUCAUCUGGAGACAGGUACAGCGACCAAUAGGCGCACAGCACGCGCCUACACUGGGCCAAUCGGAAGCCGUGAGGUAGGAACCCUAAUUAUUCUUUCACGAAAGAGCCAUUGAGUGAGAAUCUCAGAACGGGAUUUUUUGUCACAAAUCGCACAAUCCUUGGCCUUUUCCAAAUGAAAUAAUAAACAUGACUCUUUU
rnacentral:lncRNA from 1 species